CCUACGGGUGGCAGCAGUGAGGAAUAUUGGUCAAUGGACGAGAGUCUGAACCAGCCAAGCCGCGUGAAGGAUGACUGCUCUAUGAGUUGUAAACUUCUUUUAUAUGGGAAUAAAAUGUUCCACGUGUGGGAUUUUGUAUGUACCAUCUGAAUAAGGAUCGGCUAACUCCGUGCCAGCAGCCGCGGUAAUACGGAGGAUACGAGCGUUAUCCGGAUUUAUUGGGUUUAAAGGGAGCGUAGGUGGAUUGUUAAGUCAGUGGUGAAAGUCUGCGGCUCAACCGUAGAAUUGCAGUUGAAACUGGCAGGCUGGAGUGCAGUAGAGGUGGGCGGAAUGCAUGGUGUAGCGGUGAAAUGCUUAGAGAUCACGAAGAACUCCGAUUGCGAAGGCAGCUCACUGGACUGCAACUGACGCUGAGGCUCGAAAGUGUGGGUAUCAAACAGGAUUAGAUACCCGAGUAGUC
rnacentral:rRNA from 1 species